AGAAAGCUGGCUCUGUUAUUUCUUGACGGUUGCUAACUAUGUUGAGAAAUUCAAUGAAUUUUCUGUUAAACAUUUGAGGCCGUAGCAAUGGAGGAUGAAAUUACAUUGUGCACUGAAGAAAACUUGAUUGAGGCACUUGUAAACAAAAAGAAAAUUUACAAGACGAAACAAUUGCUCAAACCCUUGUCUUCAAAUUUACUUGUGAAGCAUUUUGCCGUAUGGAAGAGAGGAAGAAUGGUACUAGGAGAGUAGUCGAAAGAAGUUAAUUAAUGAAUUUAAGAUUGGCAGGGUAAAUACUGGAGGCCAUAGAAAUUGGUCAAGGCACUUGUAACAAAAAGAUAAUCUGCCAGAUGAAACAAGUGCUCACUCCCUGGUUUUCACAUUUGCAAUUCGGUUAUGGGAAAGAGGUAGAAUGACGUUAGGAGAGUAGUCGAAAAACCUUAACCAAUGAGUUGAUUUACUAGUUCAAUGGCAUCCUAUAUAUGCUGAGAAUUUACAAUUUCUGUCACUCAGGAGAAGAAAUGAAGGUCCAAUUUUUAUCAUUCAAUAGUAGAACUUCAUGGAGGCACUUAUUAACAAGAAGAAACUUUUUCCUAAUGAAACAAGUGUUGAAUCUUCUGGUUUUCACAUUUUCUUGGUCAUAGAGUGCAUCAGUAUCAAAUGGUCAUGGAAUCAUGAAAUGUUAAAGGAAUGGAUUUGAGCAAAACAGUACAAGCAUGGUAGAUGGGGAGACCUGUCAAUGAAAGUGGUCAUGAUUUGUAACAAGAUAUAAAGCAACUUAUUCAAUUGUGGGAUUCAAGUUUUCAUGUAUUUAAAUUUCAGUUGUUCA